rnacentral:rRNA from 1 species
CCAAGGAGUCUAACAUGUGCGCGAGUCAUGGGGUCUUACGAAACCCAAAGGCGCAAUGAAAGUGAAAUGCGGACUUGGGCCGCAGGUAGGCAGGAUCCCGUCGCUUGCGGCGGGCGCACUGCCGGCCCGUCUCGUCGCGGCAUUGCCCGUGAGGCGGAGCAAGAGCGCACACGUUGGGACCCGAAAGAUGGUGAACUAUGCCUGAGUAGGACGAAGUCAGAGGAAACUCUGAUGGAGGUCCGUAGCGAUUCUGACGUGCAAAUCGAUCGUCAAACUUGGGUAUAGGGGCGAAAGACUAAUCGAACCAUCUA